rnacentral:rRNA from 1 species
UAUUGGACAAUGGGCGCAAGCCUGAUCCAGCCAUGCCGCGUGAGUGAAGAAGGCCCUCGGGUUGUAAAGCUCUUUUGUCCGGAAAGAAAAGCUUCGGGUUAAUACCCCGGGGUUCUGACGGUACCGGAAGAAUAAGCACCGGCUAACUUCGUGCCAGCAGCCGCGGUAAUACGAAGGGUGCAAGCGUUACUCGGAAUUACUGGGCGUAAAGCGUGCGUAGGUGGUUCGUUAAGUCUGAUGUGAAAGCCCUGGGCUCAACCUGGGAAUUGCAUUGGAUACUGGCGGGCUAGAGUGCGGUAGAGGAUAGUGGAAUUCCUGGUGUAGCAGUGAAAUGCGUAGAGAUCAGGAGGAACAUCCGUGGCGAAGGCGACUGUCUGGACCAGCACUGACACUGAGGCACGAAAGCGUGGGGAGCAAACAGG